UACAGAGGGUGCAAGCGUUGUUCGGAAUUACUGGGCGUAAAGCGCACGUAGGCGGCUUUGCAAGUCAGAGGUGAAAGCCCGGGGCUCAACCCCGGAAUAGCCUUUGAGACUGCAUCGCUAGAAUUGUGGAGAGGUAAGUGGAAUUCCGAGUGUAGAGGUGAAAUUCGUAGAUAUUCGGAAGAACACCAGUGGUGAAGGCGACUUACUGGACACAUAUUGACGCUGAGGUGCGAAAGCGUGGGGAGCAAACAGG
rnacentral:rRNA from 1 species